GUGCGUAUAAUUUAAAAAAAUACUAGAUUGUGAUUCUAGAAAUGAGAGUUAAACCCUCUCUACCCACC
rnacentral:tRNA from 1 species